UCCAAGGCCCUUUUUAGGGCCACCAUUUGAUUCCAAUUCUAAUAA
rfam:Biomphalaria glabrata isolate BB02 unplaced genomic scaffold LGTN_random_Scaffold548, whole genome shotgun sequence.